GACGAACCGUGCGAACGUUGUUCGGAAUCACUGGGCUUAAAGGGCGCGUAGGCGGGCCAUCAAGUCCGGGGUGAAAUACUCCGGCUUAACCGGAGAAUUGCCUUGGAUACUGGAGGUCUUGAGGGAAGUAGGGGUCUGCGGAACUUCCGGUGGAGCGGUGAAAUGUGUUGAUAUCGGAAGGAAUGCCGGGUGCGAAAGCGGCGGACUGGGCUUCUUCUGCCGCUGAGUCGCGAAAGCUAGGGGAGCAAACGGG
rnacentral:rRNA from 1 species